rnacentral:rRNA from 1 species
GUGCCAGCAGCCGCGGUAAGACGGAGGGUGCUAGCGUUGUUCGGAAUGACUGGGCGUAAAGGGCGCGUAGGCGGCCGCUUGCGUCGGAUGUGAAAGCCCGGGGCUCAACCCCGGAACGGCAUCCGAUACGGGGCGGCUCGAGACCGAGAGAGGUGAGUGGAAUACCCAGUGUAGAGGUGAAAUUCGUAGAUAUUGGGUGGAACACCGGUGGCGAAAGCGGCUCACUGGCUCGGUUCUGACGCUGAGGCGCGAAAGCGUGGGGAGCAAACAGGAUUAGAUACCCUGGUAGUCC